rnacentral:rRNA from 1 species
AUACGUAGGUGACAAGCGUUAUCCGGAUUUACUGGGCGUAAAGGGCGUGUAGGCGGUCUUGCAAGUCAGAAGUGAAAUUCCUGAGCUCAACUCGGGCGCUGCUUCUGAAACUGCAGGACUUGAGUGCUGGAGGGGAUAGCGGAAUUCCUAGUGGAGCGGUAAAAUGCGCAGAUAUUAGGAAGAACACCGGUGGCGAAGGCGGCUAUCUGGACAGUAACUGACGCUGAGGCGCGAAAGCGUGGGGAGCAAACAGGAUUAGAUACCCUGGUAGUCCACGCCGUAAACGAUGAGCACUAAGUGUCGGAUGAAUUUUCGGCGCUGCAGUUAACACAAUAAGUGCUCCGCCUGGGGAGUACGGUCGCAAGACUGAAACUCAAAUGAAUUGACGGGG